rnacentral:rRNA from 1 species
UGAGAGGAUGGUCAGCCACACUGGGACUGAGACACUGCCCAGACUCCUACGGGAGGCUGCAGUCGAGGAUCAUUGUCAAUGCGCGGAAGCGUGAACAUGCGACGCUGCGUGGAGGAUGAAGGCUUUCGUGUUGUAAACUCCUGUCAUCCGGGAAAAACGAGUGGGCCGUUAAUAGCGGUUCGCAGUGAUGGUACCGGAAGAGGAAGCCACGGCUAACUCUGUGCCAGCAGCCGCGGUAAUACAGAGGUGGCGAGCGUUGUUCGGAUUUACUGGGCGUAAAGAGUGCGUAGGUGGCUUCGUAUGUCGGACGUGAAAGCCCACGGCUCAACCGUGGAAUUGCAUUCGAAACUGCGGGGCUUGAGUGCAGGAGAGGAGAGCGGAAUUCCUGGUGUAGCGGUGAAAUGCGUUGAUAUCAGGAAGAACACCGGUGGCGAAGGCGGCUCUCUGGAAUGUUACUGACACUGAGGCACGAAAGCUGGGGGAGCGAACAGGAUUAGAUACCCUGGUAGUCCCAGCCGUAAACGGUGUGCACUUGGUGUAGGGGGUAUUGAUCCCCUCUGUGCCGGAGCUAACGCGUUAAGUGCACUGCCUGGGGAGUACGGCCGCAAGGCUAAAACUCAAAGAAAUUGACGGGGGCCCGCACAAGCGGAGGAGCAUGUGGCUCAAUUCGAUGCAACGCGAAGAACCUUACCAGGGCUUGACAUGUAGCUGCACGCCCGCCGAAAGGUGGGAAGCCUUCGAGGGUGCUACACAGGUGCUGCAUGGCUGUCGCCAGUUCGUGCCGUGAGGUGUUGGGUUAAGUCCCGCAACGAACGCAACCCUUGUGUCUAGUUGCCACCGGAGGUGAUGAGCCUUCGAGCACUCUAGACAGACUGCCCGUACAAGCGGGAGGAAGGUGGGGAUGACGUCAAGUCAGUAUGGCCCUUACGUCCUGGGCUGCACACGUGCUACAAUGGUCGGUACAGAGGGAUGCAAGACCGCGAGGUGGAGCAAAUCCCGAAAGCUGACCUCAGUUCGGAUUGGAGUCUGCAACUCGACUCCAUGAAGUUGGAUUCGCUAGUAACGGCGUAUCAGCUACGGCGCCGUGAAUACGUUCCCGGGCCUUGUACACACCGCCCGUCACAUCAUGAAAGCCGUCUGCACCCGAAGUCGCUGACCCAACUUGCAAAAGAGGGAGGCGCCGAAGGUGUGGGUGGUGAUUGGGAUGAAGUCGAAACAAGGUA